GGUUAAGCGACUAAGCGUACACGGUGGAUGCCCUGGCAGUCAGAGGCGAUGAAGGGCGUGCUAAUCUGCGAUAAGCGCCGGUAAGGUGAUAUGAACCGUUAUAACCGGCGAUACCCGAAUGGGGAAACCCAGUGUGACUCGUCACACUAUCAUUAACUGAAUCCAUAGGUUAAUGAGGCGAACCGGGGGAACUGAAACAUCUAAGUACCCCGAGGAAAAGAAAUCAACCGAGAUUCCCCCAGUAGCGGCGAGCGAACGGGGAGGAGCCCAGAGCCUGAAUCAGCAUGUGUGUUAGUGGAAGCGUCUGGAAAGGCGCGCGAUACAGGGUGACAGCCCCGUACACAAAAGCGCAUAUGCUGUGAGCUCGAUGAGUAGGGCGGGACACGUGGUAUCCUGUCUGAAUAUGGGGGGACCAUCCUCCAAGGCUAAAUACUCCUGACUGACCGAUAGUGAACCAGUACCGUGAGGGAAAGGCGAAAAGAACCCCGGCGAGGGGAGUGAAAAAGAACCUGAAACCGUGUACGUACAAGCAGUGGGAGCCCCACCACUAAGCCAGUGGUGAACUCCACAUACGCAUCCUUUGCUGAGGAUACGGUUAACGGAGCGCAAGCGACGUUCAACCGCAAAAGAAGCAGAGGGGGCUUAGUGGUGGGGUGACUGCGUACCUUUUGUAUAAUGGGUCAGCGACUUAUAUUCUGUAGCAAGGUUAACCGAAUAGGGGAGCCGGAGGGAAACCGAGUCUUAAUUGGGCGUUAAGUUGCAGGGUAUAGACCCGAAACCCGGUGAUCUAGCCAUGGGCAGGUUGAAGGUUGGGUAACACUAACUGGAGGACCGAACCGACUAAUGUUGAAAAAUUAGCGGAUGACCUGUGGCUGGGGGUGAAAGGCCAAUCAAACCGGGAGAUAGCUGGUUCUCCCCGAAAGCUAUUUAGGUAGCGCCUCGUGAAUUCAUCUCCGGGGGUAGAGCACUGUUUCGGCUAGGGGGCCAUCCCGGCUUACCAACCCGAUGCAAACUGCGAAUACCGGAGAAUGUUAUCACGGGAGACACACGGCGGGUGCUAACGUCCGUCGUGAAGAGGGAAACAACCCAGACCGCCAGCUAAGGUCCCAAAGUCAUGGUUAAGUGGGAAACGAUGUGGGAAGGCCCAGACAGCCAGGAUGUUGGCUUAGAAGCAGCCAUCAUUUAAAGAAAGCGUAAUAGCUCACUGGUCGAGUCGGCCUGCGCGGAAGAUGUAACGGGGCUAAACCAUGCACCGAAGCUGCGGCAGCGACGCUGAUGCGUUGUUGGGUAGGGGAGCGUUCUGUAAGCCUGCGAAGGUGGCCUGUGAGGGUUGCUGGAGGUAUCAGAAGUGCGAAUGCUGACAUAAGUAACGAUAAAGCGGGUGAAAAGCCCGCUCGCCGGAAGACCAAGGGUUCCUGUCCAACGUUAAUCGGGGCAGGGUGAGUCGACCCCUAAGGCGAGGCCGAAAGGCGUAGUCGAUGGGAAACGGGUUAAUAUUCCCGUACUUGGUGUUACUGCGAAGGGGGGACGGAGAAGGCUAUGUUGGCCGGGCGACGGUUGUCCCGGUUUAAGCGUGUAGGUGUGUGUUCCAGGUAAAUCCGGUUCACUUUAACACUGAGGCGUGAUGACGAGGCACUACGGUGCUGAAGCAACAAAUGCCCUGCUUCCAGGAAAAGCCUCUAAGCAUCAGGUAACAUCAAAUCGUACCCCAAACCGACACAGGUGGUCAGGUAGAGAAUACCAAGGCGCUUGAGAGAACUCGGGUGAAGGAACUAGGCAAAAUGGUGCCGUAACUUCGGGAGAAGGCACGCUGACACGUAGGUGAAGUGAUUUACUCACGGAGCUGAAGUCAGUCGAAGAUACCAGCUGGCUGCAACUGUUUAUUAAAAACACAGCACUGUGCAAACACGAAAGUGGACGUAUACGGUGUGACGCCUGCCCGGUGCCGGAAGGUUAAUUGAUGGGGUCAGCGCAAGCGAAGCUCCUGAUCGAAGCCCCGGUAAACGGCGGCCGUAACUAUAACGGUCCUAAGGUAGCGAAAUUCCUUGUCGGGUAAGUUCCGACCUGCACGAAUGGCGUAAUGAUGGCCAGGCUGUCUCCACCCGAGACUCAGUGAAAUUGAACUCGCUGUGAAGAUGCAGUGUACCCGCGGCAAGACGGAAAGACCCCGUGAACCUUUACUAUAGCUUGACACUGAACAUUGAGCCUUGAUGUGUAGGAUAGGUGGGAGGCUUUGAAGUGUGGACGCCAGUCUGCAUGGAGCCGGCCUUGAAAUACCACCCUUUAAUGUUUGAUGUUCUAACGUGGACCCGUGAUCCGGGUUGCGGACAGUGUCUGGUGGGUAGUUUGACUGGGGCGGUCUCCUCCUAAAGAGUAACGGAGGAGCACGAAGGUUGGCUAAUCCUGGUCGGACAUCAGGAGGUUAGUGCAAUGGCAUAAGCCAGCUUGACUGCGAGCGUGACGGCGCGAGCAGGUGCGAAAGCAGGUCAUAGUGAUCCGGUGGUUCUGAAUGGAAGGGCCAUCGCUCAACGGAUAAAAGGUACUCCGGGGAUAACAGGCUGAUACCGCCCAAGAGUUCAUAUCGACGGCGGUGUUUGGCACCUCGAUGUCGGCUCAUCACAUCCUGGGGCUGAAGUAGGUCCCAAGGGUAUGGCUGUUCGCCAUUUAAAGUGGUACGCGAGCUGGGUUUAGAACGUCGUGAGACAGUUCGGUCCCUAUCUGCCGUGGGCGCUGGAGAACUGAGGGGGGCUGCUCCUAGUACGAGAGGACCGGAGUGGACGCAUCACUGGUGUUCGGGUUGUCAUGCCAAUGGCACUGCCCGGUAGCUAAAUGCGGAAGAGAUAAGUGCUGAAAGCAUCUAAGCACGAAACUUGCCCCGAGAUGAGUUCUCCCUGAGACUUAGAGUCUCCUGAAGGAACGUUGAAGACGACGACGUUGAUAGGCCGGGUGUGUAAGCGCAGCGAUGCGUUGAGCUAACCGGUACUAAUGAACCGUGAGGCUUAACCUU
rnacentral:rRNA from 1 species